rnacentral:rRNA from 1 species
CGCGUAGGCGGUUUGUACAGUCAGACGUGAAAUUCCUGGGCUCAACCUGGGGGCUGCGUUUGAUACGUGCGAGCUUGAGUUCGGAAGAGGGUCGUGGAAUUCCCAGUGUAGAGGUGAAAUUCGUAGAUAUUGGGAAGAACACCGGUGGCGAAGGCGGCGACCUGGUCCGAUACUGACGCUGAGGCGCGAAAGCGUGGGAGCAAACA